GACGGAGGGCGCGAGCGUUGUCCGGAAUUAUUGGGCGUAAAGCGCGCGCAGGCGGUCUUUUAAGUCUGAUGUGAAAGCCCACGGCUCAACCGUGGAGGGUCAUUGGAAACUGGGGGACUUGAGUGCAGAAGAGGAGAGCGGAAUUCCACGUGUAGCGGUGAAAUGCGUAGAGAUGUGGAGGAACACCAGUGGCGAAGGCGGCUCUCUGGUCUGUAACUGACGCUGAGGCGCGAAAGCGUGGGGAGCAAACAGGAUUAGAAACCCCAGUAGUCC
rnacentral:rRNA from 1 species